UCUGGUGAUCAUGCCGGAGGGGUUCCACCCGUUCCCAUACCGAACACGGAAGUUAAGACCUUCAGGGCCGAUCAUACUUGGGGCGCAGGCCCCUGGAAAAGUAGGUCAUCGCCAGGU
rnacentral:rRNA from 1 species